rnacentral:tRNA from 1 species
AGCCCCGUAGUGUAGCGGCCAAGCAUGAGAGCCUCUGGAGCUCUAGACGGCGGUUCGAAUCCGCCCGGGGCUA